AAAAUUUUACUGCUAAUAAUCAUGUUUUCAAAUUACUGUGUCUUGUUGUUGUAUAGUAAUAACUCAUAAUUAUUGUCGAAGAAUAAUCAGACUGACUGCAAUGUAUUUACGUAAUCGCAUUCAGUGCGUGGCCGUUGUGUUGAAACCCAAACGAUUUCCAAACCUUUGAUGUGAUGCGGCAACUUCUCUUGUAGACGGUAAUAGCGAUAAGGUUUGGGUUGUAUAAGCACACAGUAAUGGAGGACGUUAAAAAAACUCAGGGACAAAAGUUGCAAUAUAAUUUCGAAAGAAUAGGCCGACAUAUGUGAGACGAUGCGCCAGUUUCAUCCGCACACAUUUCUCUGGUUGGCUUUUUAUUCUAGACAAAGAAUGGUUUCAACAGAAACAGAAAUAAAUUACUGAAGCGGAGACAUUUAAAUUGAUUGCACUGUGUCCCAAGUCUGAAACCAUGUAACGUCGGAAUCAUGCCAUUUUACUGGCACGAUAAAGCACAGAUGGGCUUGCCAGAGGAACAAAAAGGGGGUAUCCCAACGUUCUCUCUUUUAAUUUUAAUUUAAUUUUCUUACAUAACAGCAAUCGUAGCCUUCGGUCUUCGGUCUGUACAGAAGUUUCACAUUUCAAGGAUUUCAAUUUGGGGCAGGUCAGCAGCAUACGUUGACUAUGAGAGAAAGCCAAAAAUGAACGAGAGUAACUUUUUAAUUUUUUUUUUCAUAACCAACUGUUAGGGUUUUUUUUUUGUUGAGUUUAAAAUUUAGGUUAUGAAUUGAAUUUUAAAAGAGAUGUGAUUACUUUUCAUUUUACCUUGACAAGAACGGUUGUUUCUCUUCGGGAUCUUAAUUGUUUGAACGACUAAUCAGCACAUCAUUUCCUGUGGAAAUUCCGAAUUCCUUCGAUUCUUAUCAUUAACUUGUCAACUUUGUCGAAUGAAAGAUCUAAUGUCGCAGGAAAUCGCAACUACAAAUAUCCGGUGUUCCCACAAAGCAUCACCCAUAGCUGCGAUUUUCAACAUCCUGUCUAUAUAGGAUUACGUAGCGAAAACUUUUCUUUUCUCAGGAUACAGGAUACGCUCCCCUCAGUAGCUUGAAAUAACUUCUUUUGACUGUAAUUACUUAUUUAACUAUGUAUAAAAAAUAAAAAUAAAACUUUUUUUUUACUGAAAA